UUUGCUCACUAUGAGGACUACUCCACUUCUUCUAAGUGAUUCUUUCUCAUUAUAGUAGAUAUAAUGGUCAUCUGAGUUAAAUUCACCCAUUCUAGUCCAUUUUAGUUCACUGGUUCCCAAAAUGUCAAUGUUCACUCUUGCCAUCUCCUGUUUGAC